rnacentral:rRNA from 1 species
UCUGGCNGCANGCCUAACACAUGCAAGUCGAACGCCCCUUCGGGGGAGUGGCAGACGGGUGAGUAACGCGUGGGAAUCUACCCAGUGGUACGGAAUAACUCAGGGAAACCUGGGCUAAUACCGUAUACGCCCUUCGGGGGAAAGAUUUAUCGCCAUUGGAUGAGCCCGCGUCGGAUUAGCUUGUUGGUGAGGUAAAAGCUCACCAAGGCGACGAUCCGUAGCUGGUCUGAGAGGAUGAUCAGCCACACUGGGACUGAGACACGGCCCAGACUCCUACGGGAGGCAGCAGUGGGGAAUAUUGGACAAUGGGCGCAAGCCUGAUCCAGCCAUGCCGCGUGAGUGACGAAGGCCUUAGGGUUGUAAAACUCUUUCACCGGUGAAGAUAAUGACGGUAGCCGGAGAAGAAGCCCCGGCUAACUCCGUGCCAGCAGCCGCGGUAAU